CCUUUAUUUUCUAUCUGUUUAUCUCCUCAAGAUUCUCUGCUAUAAAUCCUUCUAUCUAAUAUUUCCUGCUGCUCGCACUCAAGAAAACUCUGGGGAACUGUGGGGGUGGUGGGUAAAAUGCCCCACAGUUAACGCUACAAGCUGGUCAGACAUGGUCUUCAUGGCCAGGCCUGACUUAGAAUAUGGGAACAUGAGAACCCCGUGGACCCUCUGUGGAGAUUCUGCUAGCUCGUUCUCUGGUUUAUUUGUUAACCUGUCUGUGCUGCAUGUCUGCAUAGAAUGCAAAGCCUGCAUUGAUAAAAUUGUGUAGUAUACCUUAGUUUAUUUAUAUGAAGUCAAAUUCGCUUAGAUCUCAUCUUGGACAACCCAGGGAGCAUCUGUGAAACCUAAGGCAUCUAGAUUUCCAGUACAUUUCGCAGCCAAAGGUGUGGACAGACCUGAGUGACUGAGCACCAGCACAGAGCAACCAGGUUCACCCUGAAUUUAUUUAUUUUUUUUAUACCUUAGGGUUCUAGCAAGGAGCACAGUUCUGGGGAAGGCUAUGUGACUCCGGACCCAGACCUGGAGGGAUAUGUACUUGCUCACCAGGCAUGGCUUCUCCAGACUAAAUCAUCAAGAGCUCCUUGGUUGUGUUCUCAGUGUGUUCCUCUGUGACCCCUAAACACCUUGCCUUGUGAGAUGGCUUUGAAGGAACUUUAACCGCCAGCUUCCUGUUCCACUGCUCAGGCUGCAGUAUAUGUUCAUGAAAACUCCCCUGCUUGCUAGGCACCCUUUAAUUACUUAGUAGCCUUGUAU